CAAUAGCGUAUAUUGAAGUUGUUGCAGUUAAAAAGCUCGUAGUCGGAUUUUGGCUGAGAACGAACGGUCCGCCGUUAGGUGUGCACUGUUUGGUCUCAGCUUCCUGGUGAGGAGGUGUGCUUCACGGCCACUUAGUCACCGUGGUUACUUUGAAAAAAUUAGAGUGUUCAAAGCGGGCUUACGCUUGAAUAUAUUAGCAUGGAAUAACACCAUAGGACUCCUGUCCUAUUUCGUUGGUCUCGGGACGGGAGUAAUGAUUAAGAGGAACAGUUGGGGGCAUUCGUAUUUCAUUGUCAGAGGUGAAAUUCUUGGAUUUAUGAAAGACGAACUUCUGCGAAAGCAUUUGCCAAGGAUGUUUUCAUUGA
rnacentral:rRNA from 1 species